rnacentral:rRNA from 1 species
UACGAAGGGGGCUAGCGUUGUUCGGAAUCACUGGGCGUAAAGCGCACGUAGGCGGAUUGCUAAGUCAGGGGUGAAAUCCUGGAGCUCAACUCCAGAACUGCCUUUGAUACUGAAGAUCUUGAGUUCGGGAGAGGUGAGUGGAACUGCGAGUGUAGAGGUGAAAUUCGUAGAUAUUCGCAAGAACACCAGUGGCGAAGGCGGCUCACUGGCCCGAUACUGACGGCUGAGGCACGAAAAGCGUGGGGAGCAAAC